UACAGAGGUCUCGAGCGUUGUUCGGAAUUACUGGGCGUAAAGCGCGCGUAGGCGGCUUUGUAAGUCAGAGGUGAAAUCCCGGAGCUCAACUCCAGAACUGCCUUUGAUACUGGCGAUCUUGAGUCCGGGAGAGGUGAGUGGAACUGCGAGUGUAGAGGUGAAAUUCGUAGAUAUUCGCAAGAACACCAGUGGCGAAGGCGGCUCACUGGCCCGGUACUGACGCUGAGGCACGAAAGCGUGGGGAGCAAACAGG
rnacentral:rRNA from 1 species